ensembl:lncRNA
GUGGGCCUUUCUUACAGGUGGCUCACGGGAAGGUGAGGGAGUGCUGGCAGCGACCGUGUUUGCUCUGUGUUAGGAGACUUUGACCUCUGCACUGAGUGAGUAGGGGUGUGUAAGGCCAAAUGUUUGAAAAUAGCGUGGAAAUGUUUCAUGUGGAUGCACAGAACCAUCACUGAGAACAGGUUCAUCCACCUCACUACAACUGACACAAAUUCGUUCCUUUUUAUGGGUAGACCUGCUUCAGCAUGAAGGACUGCACUUAAAGGGAUGCAUACUAUUCCAGCUCAAGCAACAGAUACUGAAGUGCAGAUCACUGUCCUUUGUUGAAAAGGAUCAGCAGUUUGUCAACAUAGGUAACACGCCAGAGCAAGCCUUGGGAUGCAACUCUGAAAACAGGUUAGGCCCUCUUUUCCCCAAGCCCUGCAA